UAACGACUCUCGGCAACGGAUAUCUAGGCUCUUGCAUCGAUGAAGAACGUAGCGAAAUGCGAUACUUGGUGUGAAUUGCAGAAUCCCGUGAACCAUCGAGUCUUUGAACGCAAGUUGCGCCCGAAGCCUUCUGGCCGAGGGCACGCCUGCCUGGGUGUCACACA
rnacentral:rRNA from 1 species